rnacentral:miRNA from 1 species
UCCAUGAGUCUCAGUUAGGAUG